UGCUAGUAGACACUGGCCCCAGUAUUAAGAGGUGGACUGCUAGUAGACACUGGCCCCAGUAUUAAGAGGUGGACUGCUAGUAGACACUGGCCCCAGUAUUAAGAGGUGGACUGCUAGUAGACACUGACCCCAGUAUUAAGAGGUGGACUGCUAGUAGACACUGGCCCCAGUAUUAAGAGGUGGACUGCUAGUAGACACUGGCCCCAGUAUUAAGAGGUGGACUGCUAGUAGACACUGGCCCCAGUAUUAAGAGGUGGACUGCUAGUAGACACUGGCCCCAGUAUUAAGAGGUGGACUGCUAGUUGACACUGGCCCCAGUAUUAAGAGGUGGACUGCUAGUAGACACUGGCCCCAGUAUUAAGAGGUGGACUGCUAGUAGACACUGGCCCCAGUAUUAAGAGGUGGACUGCUAGUAGACACUGGCCCCAGUAUUAAGAGGUGGACUGCUAGUAGACACUGGCCCCAGUAUUAAGAGGUGGACUGCUAGUUGACACUGGCCCCAGUAUUAAGAGGUGGACUGCUAGUAGACACUGGCCCCAGUAUUAAGAGGUGGACUGCUAGUUGACACUGGCCCCAGUAUUAACAGGUGGACUGCUAGUAGACACUGACCCCAGUAUUAAGAGGUGGACUGCUAGUAGACACAGGCCCCAGUAUUAAGAGGUGGACUGCUAGUUGACACUGGCCCCAGUAUUAACAGGUGGACUGCUAGUAGACACUGGCCCCAGUAUUAAGAGGUGGACUGCUAGUAGACACAGGCCCCAGUAUUAAGAGGUGGACUGCUAGCUGACACUGGCCCCAGUAUUAAGAGGUGGACUGCUAGUAGACACUGGCCCCAGUAUUAAGAGGUGGACUGCUAGUAGACACUGGCCCCAGUAUUAAGAGGUGGACUGCUAGUAGACACUGGCCCCAGUAUUAAGAGGUGGACUGCUAGUAGACACUGGCCCCAGUAUUAAGAGGUGGACUGCUAGUAGACACUGGCCCCAGUAUUAAGAGGUGGACUGCUAGUAGACACUGGCCCCAGUAUUAAGAGGUGGACUGCUAGUAGACACUGGCCCCAGUAUUAAGAGGUGGACUGCUAGUAGACACUGGCCCCAGUAUUAAGAGGUGGACUGCUAGUUGACACUGGCCCCAGUAUUAAGAGGUGGACUGCUAGUAGACACUGGCCCCAGUAUUAAGAGGUGGACUGCUAGUAGACACUGGCCCCAGUAUU